rnacentral:sRNA from 1 species
UAUCAAAAGGUUUUCAAAGCAUUGCAGUC